AGUGAACGCUGGCGGUAGGCCUAACACAUGCAAGUCGAACGGCAGCACAGUAAGAGCUUGCUCUUACGGGUGGCGAGUGGCGGACGGGUGAGGAAUACAUCGGAAUCUACUUUUUCGUGGGGGAUAACGUAGGGAAACUUACGCUAAUACCGCAUACGACCUACGGGUGAAAGCAGGAGAUCUUCGGACCUUGCGCGAUUGAAUGAGCCGAUGUCGGAUUAGCUAGUUGGCGGGGUAAAGGCCCACCAAGGCGACGAUCCGUAGCUGGCCUGAGAGGAUGAUCAGCCACACUGGAACUGAGACACGGUCCAGACUCCUACGGGAGGCAGCAGUGGGGAAUAUUGGACAAUGGGCGCAAGCCUGAUCCAGCCAUACCGCGUGGGUGAAGAAGGCCUUCGGGUUGUAAAGCCCUUUUGUUGGGAAAGAAAAGCAGCAGGUUAAUACCCCGCUGUUCUGACGGUACCCAAAGAAUAAGCACCGGCUAACUUCGUG
rnacentral:rRNA from 1 species